rnacentral:rRNA from 1 species
UACGGAGGAGGCAAGCGUUAUCCGGAAUUACUGGGCGUAAAGCGCGCGCAGGCGGUCCUUUAAGUCAGGGGUGAAAGCCCAGAGCUCAACUCUGGAACGGCCUUUGAAACUAGAGGACUUGGGUACGGGAGAGGUGAGUGGAAUUCCGAGUGUAGAGGUGAAAUUCGUAGAUAUUCGGAAGAACACCAGUGGCGAAGGCGGCUCACUGGCCCGUUACCGACGCUCAGGCGCGACAGCGUGGGGAGCAAACAGG